rnacentral:lncRNA from 1 species
GUUGAUGCUAUCCCAUCUCGGAAAUGAUCCUAAUGUAUGGCUAUGGAACACACUGUGGAGGUUUUCAAGGAGUUCUGGGAACAGAACCCUUGACGGACAACCGGACUUACACUGUUUUAAGUGCGUUUUGGAUAAUUGCUGUUGUGACAGCAAUUAGACGCACUUAAGCCAGUUUAAGUUGGGCGGUUCCGCCACAGCUGGUAUCAGAGCCAUAGGUUGGGAUAAUCAACAGA